rnacentral:rRNA from 1 species
AGAGUUUGAUCCUGGCUCAGAUUGAACGCUGGCGGUAUGCUUAACACAUGCAAGUCGAACGGUAACAGCAAGAGCUUGCUCUUGGCUGACGAGUGGCGGACGGGUGAGUAACGCGUGGGAAUCUGCCUACUAGCGGGGGAUAGCCCGGAGAAAUCCGGAUUAAUACCGCAUAAGCCCUACGGGGGAAAGCUGGGGACCUUCGGGCCUGGCACUAGUAGAUGAGCCCGCGUUAGAUUAGCUUGUUGGUAGGGUAAUGGCCUACCAAGGCAACGAUCUAUAGCUGGUCUGAGAGGACGAUCAGCCACACUGGGACUGAGACACGGCCCAGACUCCUACGGGAGGCAGCAGUGGGGAAUAUUGCACAAUGGGCGCAAGCCUGAUGCAGCAAUACCGCGUGUGUGAAGAAGGCCUGCGGGUUGUAAAGCACUUUCAAUUGUGAAGAAAUGCUCUUGGUUAAUAACCUUGAGUCUUGACAUUAGCAAUACAAGAAGCACCGCUAACU